rnacentral:sRNA from 1 species
GCCGGGUGUGAUGGCGCAUGCCUGUCAUCCCAGCAGCUCAGGAGGCUGAGGCAGGAGGAUCGCAAGUUCAAAGCCAGCCUCAACAACGUAGUGAGGCCCUAAGCAACUCAGCGAGACCCCGUCUCUA